rnacentral:rRNA from 1 species
GACGAACGCUGGCGGCGUGCUUAACACAUGCAAGUCGAACGGUGAAGCGCCUUCCUUUUUGGUUGGUGUGGAUGAGUGGCGAACGGGUGAGUAACACGUGAGUAACCUGCCCCCUUCUUCUGGAUAACCGCAUGAAAGUGUGGCUAAUACGGGAUAUUCUGGGUCUGUCGCAUGAUGGGUCUUGGAAAGAUAUUGUUUCGGUGGGGGAUGGGCUCGCGGCGUGUGAGCUUGUUGGUGGGGUGAUGGCCUACCAAGGGGGUGACGGGCAGCCGGCGUGGGAGGGUGGACGGGCAGAGUGGGAGAGAGAGCCGGGACAGACUCCGACGGGAGGCAGCAGGGGGGAAUAUUGAACAAUGGGAGUCAGACUGAUGCAGCGACGCGGCGUGAGGGAGGGCGGCCUUCGGGUUGUGAACCUCUUUCGCCAGUGAAGCAGGCCUGCCGCGUUUGUGGGUGGGUUGACGGUAGCUGGAUAAGAAGCGCCGGCUAACUACGUG